rnacentral:lncRNA from 1 species
GAAGCCCUUCUAAGGGGAUCAAGGCUGUGACUGGCUAUGAGAAGAGAAAACUAAUGCUCCAUUUCCCACUCAGUCCCUGGGCUGCUGAACUCUUCCCCACCACUUGAGGAGGAGCUACGCUGGGAAGAGAUGAGCUGAUGCCCAGCUCAGCUGCUCUUCUGAGUCUUCAAUUUCCAGACCAACCUCCCUUAAGGUGACUGACAGUGGGGACCUCAACCUCACCUACAGGGAUGUGGACUGAUCCCAUGGUCUCAGUGAGAGACCCAGGCAAUAUUUCUACAUGAAGCAUGUUGGAUUUCUGAAUUAUCCAGCCUCAAAUGACACCGGGAUGGGACAGUGUUAACCCAGAUAAGAAAACUGAGGCUCUGAGAAGUUGAGGGACUUGGUCAAGGCCACAUGUCAGUGAGUGCCAGAAGUUUCUGCUACUCCUACAAAAUCAGAAGUUCCCCAAAUCCAAACCAUCUCGACCUACCCCUGUGACCCGCCAAAAGAAGCUGGCCUUCCCCAUCCUCCUGUCUCCGCAGUGCCAUUUGCCUUUCAGUCUCCUAAAAAGAAGCACUUACUCUCUUCCCCAAAUCGCAGAGGGAAGCUUCAAAUACACUUCUAAUCAUCCUCAGUACCCAGCAGUAUAUAGGAAGUUAUUGUCCCAAAGUUGUGUGUCAUGCCCGAAGUGUCUGGGAUCCCCGAGUGCCUGUGGUGCCCAAGAGCUAUGAAUCUGCUAUCAUCAACACAGAGGGUACCUUCUGAAUGGGCUAUGUCUACAGUGAUGCUGCAAAUGGAAGCUAACCCUAGGAUGACUGGCCUCUGACACUUGAGCCAUCCCAUCAUCUGUCAUGGGUUGACCCAUCCAUCCCCUCAAUGAGCCUGACCUUCAGGACCACUGACAGAGGAGCAGUCAAUAGAAAUUAAUUGUUAAAUACCCAGAAAAUCUGAAAUGGUAUUUAAUAUGCAGUUCAUCAAGAGCAAAAGUUCCUUAAAUCUUCAUCUAGAAAAGUUAUUUAUAAGGGAUGAAUAUGUUGUAUGAAUAUGUUGUAUGCAAAUAUUAUAUUCAAGGGCAAGACCAUGAAAACAGUUUAAGAAUCCGACAGGGAAUUAGAUAAAGACAUCGGAGUGCACUUGUCAAAAUACAGCUAUCAAGAAUGAUGAUGUUGAAAAAUAGUUUAGCAAUAUAAUUGUCUAGAACCACAGGGAGUCUGAGAUUUUACCCAACUUGUGAGUUAACAACUCUGCUAUAGCUUCAUGAAAGAAGACACAAGACUCCUGGGUCAGGAACAAAGGUCUCUAAUACUCACAGCAAUAUCAGGAGCCAGAAUUUCAGGAUCCUUUUUCCUGCCAGUUUCUCAAGUCCUAAUUACCACCGAGUUACAGGAAAGGGCCAGGUAACACUAGCACUGCCAUCAGUGGCUGUAUUACAGAACAGGAACUCCAAGCUUAGGAAACCCAAAUCUUUUAUAGUUAACAAUGAACACAUCUGCCAUUGUUCUGAAGGGAGACGCUACCCCAAUCUUCCACACCUGUUCACUAUAUAAAUAUCUGUGAAAAGAUAGACAGAAAAAUAGGUGGAGAAUGCCUCUGCUCACAAGAUGUGCAGAAACGUGAGAGGCUCAUGGAGAACUGUUUCCCUACAAUGACAAAAUGCUGACGAUAUAUUGUUAUGUAAAAUAAAGCAGGCAUUUUUCACCUCAUUUUCAUGAAAUAUAGUGUGUUUAUAUAGAUAUUUAGAAAAGUAUGAAAGGACAUUCAUCCAGAUAUCAAUAGAAGAGUUUAUUAUUUUUGCUAGUUGUAAGUUCAAACUUUUCUAGUAAAAAUAGAUUACUUGUGAAAUUAUUUUUAAUCUUUUUUUUUUUUUGAGAUGGAGUCUUGCUCUGUCGCCCAGGCUCGAGUGCAGUGGCAUGAUCUCAGCUCACUGCAACAUCCACCUCCUGGGUUCAAGCAAUUCUCCUGCCUCAGCCUCCUGAGUAGCUGGGAUUAUAGGUGCAUGCCACCAUGCCCAGCUAAUUUUUGUAUUUUUAGUAGAGACGGGAUUUCACCAUGUUGGUCAGGCUGGUCUCGAACUCCUGACCUCGUGAUCUGCCCACCUCGGCCUCCCAAAGUGCUAGAAUUACAGGUGUGAGCCACUGCACCCCUCCUAAAUGUCAAUUUAAUAACUGAGGGAGCCCUUAAAAUACCCCGCUGACUUCCACACGGGUGUGUAAAAUAGAAUCUGCUCACGUCUUAGAGGAGAUAAGUACAUGCUUAAUGUUCUUAGGAGAGACCUGCCUUUUGACAUGGAAGCUGUGGUAUUGUUGACAAGAGCAUACCUCCUUAAACCAUGCAAACCACGUUCACAUCAAAGCUGCCUACGAAUGAUUAUUUUCCAUGAUGCUAUGCUCCCUCCUGCCUGCCUCAGUGGCAAGUGUGACUCAGCAAGUGUAUCCAGGGCAUCCCUCACUCUUACUUAUUUUUGCCAAAUGCAGUGGAAAUGUAUAGACUUUUUUUCAUAUUUAUGUUGGCUGCAGAGCAUAAAUCUGAAUAGGUUCUCCAAAGUAAGCUUUUUCUGCAUGCAUUUGCUCCCAAUGAUGAUAGGUAUUAUGAAUUGCUUUAUAGUAAUCAUUAUCCUUUUCCAUAUGUUUUACGGUUAGUCUGUGCUAUAAACUUGUUUGAUUUAAUGAUUUGGGUUCUCUCUCUCUCUCUCUUCUCUCCUCUUCUCUCUCUCUCUCUCUCUCUCUCUCUCACACACACACACACACUAUACAACAUACAGUUUCUUGUCUUUAAACAGGGAUAGUGAUUACCUUAUAGAUUGUGAUUAGGAUCAGAUAAACUAUAAGUAAAGCCCUGUGGUAUAAUGUGUGGGACAAAACUAACACAAUUUCAAAUUUUCUGCAACAAGUAAACAGUAUUUUAUAAUUGACAAAACUAAAAACGAACUUUAAACUUAAAAUUUCAUAUUACACAAUUGACAAUUCAAUUAACUUUCCAAUAUUAGUGUCUCUGCGUAUAUAUGUGUACAGAGACAUAUGUAACUUAUUUAACUUUAAAGUAUAUUUUCUAAUAGCUAUUUAAGAGCCAUCAAACUUUCCAAAAAAAGAGAUAGCUUUUAAAAAUAAGUGUUUCAACUUGUGAUAGUUACUUGCAUAAAUUGAUAAUUUAACCAGCUAAUUAUUAAAUCUAUAAUAGACAGGAUGAAGCAGCAUUAGGAGAGGGUAUUUAUCAGUUGCCUGGGGGCUGUCUCAUAGCUUAGUUGAAAUUCUUUUGGUUGCAAAUGUCACAAACCCACUUCAAAUUAGCUUAAGCUCAGGCAAAAUUUGCUGGAAGGAUCCUGAGGCAGUAGCUCCAAAAGUCAAAGAAAAAGCCAAAUAACCCAGUGAUCAGGAAAAAGGAAGAAUGAAGUAGGAACCUCUAGGGCCCAAGGUUGUGGAUUUUUCUUCUAGAGACUUGACAUCCACAUUACUCAGCAAUAUUUUCCCAUUUGCUUUUUCUCUUGACUUUAAUUCUGGAGAGAGAGGAAUUGAGUGGUGCAGCUUGGGUCAGGUGUCCACAUGUCCACACCUGUUGUAAGCACCUAUGGCUGAGAGGUCAGGGUCACAUAACAGAAGUAUGGCUGCUGGGGCCCAAGCCCAUGCGUGUGCAUGUGUUGUGUAUAUGCAUUUCUGUGUGUGUGGCAGGGAGUGCAAAGGUGGAGGGGGUGACACUCAGGGAUCUGUGGCUGGACUGGCAUCCCUGAAGUUCUUCUCCACACAUGUUUUUGCUUCAGAGGGAUAGAAAUUUCCAUUCCUCUUACAUUUUUAUAACAUUGUUAGAUGACUUCCUCACUCUGGAUUUUGGUGUUCUAACCAGAAGUUCAUAGGCAAUACCUAAAUGCUCUUUGAGCUUCCGCAGUGCACAUUAAUACUUCAUCCAGCAACUUGGAGAGUCCAUCUCAGUAGAAAAUUCAGCUGGUUUCACGUGGAAACACCCACUGCCCUUAGUAAUGGAGCUGCCAAGAAUGAAUCAUGCUCAAAUUUGUCCUUUUAGCAGAAUAAUGCUGCCCUCUGACAGCAACUGAAUAGGCUUUUAUCUUUUGGGGAAGUAAAUUUUCUUCCUCCAUACAGUUUCAUUAAUAUUUGUGAACUGAGCCACCAUGCUUGCCUGCAUGCCUGUGCCAGGCCCUCUUGCGGCAGCCCACUCCCACUCCCCUUAAUUCACUAAUCAUCUGCACACAACGGGCUGGAGGAAGAUGGAACUUAGCCCUGGCUGGGGGCAGGGACCUGGUUGUGAACCCUUGGCCUAAUGGAGACUUGGUCAAGCAGUAUCAACUGUCAGGACUUUUAUUUCCUGAUCUGUAAACUGGGAUCAGAAUCUCCCCCUUUUUUUUUUUUUUUUUCAUGAUGGAAUCUCGCUCUGUCGCCCAGGCUGGAGUGCAGUGGCACGAUCUCGGCUCACUGCAAGCUCUGCCUCCCAGGUUCACGCCAUUCUCCUGCCUCAGCCUCCCAAGUAGCUGGGACUACAGGUACCAGCCACCACGCCAGCUAAUUUCUUUUUGCAUUUUCAGUAGAGAUGGGGUUUCACUGUGUUAGCCAGGAUGGUCUCGAUCUCCUGACCUUGUGAUCUUCCUGUCUCGGCCUUCCAAAGUACUGGGAUUACAGGCAUGAGCCACCGUGCCCGGCCCAGAAUCCCCAUUUUAUCCAAAGAGCUGAAAGAAGGCAGUGGGGAUAAUAAGUGUGAAUGUAGUUUGGAUGCUGUAAAUUUCUAUGUAAAUGUUAAGUAUAUUCUCCAUUAAAAAAUUCACCAACCUCAUUCUCUUGGGUGUGUUAAAUCACAUGCAUUCAUGUUUCCAGUCAACCAGAGACCCCACUUUUUCCAAACUAUGUGGCAGAGGAAUAACAUCUGUAACUAUUUUGUUUGAGCUACUUCUUUCAUUUUAGAAACUGUGAAAUCAUCAGAGAAAAUAAAUACUCUGUGAUAUUCACACAUACUUCUACGAGAGUAAUUAGGAGACUCUUUGGCAAAGUUACAUAUAAAAUAUCCCCGGGAGAUUCAUUUUCUACCAAACCAUUCAAUAAAAAUGAAAAACACUCCUCCCAACUCUACUCCCACCUAAUUCCCUCAAGACCCCAUAUCCUUGUAGUUUCAUCAGGGUUACUUAUAUUUUGUUGCAAAUACAAUUAUUACCUUGUUACCUAGACCCUCAAGAUGUAAGAGUUUUAUGCACAUAGGGUCACCACACAUGAUUCUGCAUUAUUCAGAAGAGGUAAAUCAUUUGUUCUCCUGCAAAAAUAGCCCUGUAUCUAUAAAAUAUCCUUCCCAUCCUGAAGAUAAUUUAUGCCUCCUGACCCUCAAAGAAAAUGAGAAUUUCUGGCCACGGGCUUGGGGUGCAUCCAUUAGUGGCUCACCCAUGUGUUCACAACUGCAUUAUCUAACAGCACAUCUGACUGACCGCACAAAUUUGCAUAGUAAGCCACGUUGGCCAGCAGGUGAAAUUCAAAGGCAGGAUUAUCAAUAGCAUCAACAGCUACAGAGGGGUCAAGGAAAAGAAUUAUAAAGGUCAUUUGUUCAGAGAGAAGGUGGCCACUGGUGACUUUGGAGAGGUCACUCUAACAAUGGCAGAAUGGCAGAAUGAAGAAGUCAGAAUGCAAAGAUAUAAGGCAGGUUUUGAUGCUGAGAAAAUAGGAACAUAGGUAGUUAUUUGCUUGACAAGUAAACUAACAACUAAAAGGAGGGAUAGAACUAUGCCUCAAGAGAGGCAAUUCAUUUAUUUUCUUAGUUGAAUAGCCAAAACAUGUUCAUGUUUGAAGGCCAAGGGGAAGGAGCUAAUGAAAUCUACUGGUUAUAAGCUGUGCAACCUUUGACAAGUUACUUGAUUUCUCUAAACCUUAAAAGCAUCUCUUGUAAAACAGGGGUAGUAAUACUAUAUAUUUCAUUGGGAUAUUGUGACCUUUAAGUGAGGUAAUUUAUGAAAUACUUAGCUUCACACAGUGCUAAGUACCCAUUAAGUGAUCAAUAGAUAAAAUACUGAUUUACAAAGAGAAAUAGGAGGAGGAAAAGUAAGAAAGAGGCAUCCAAGGCAGCAACAGAAGAGAGAAGAAGAGGAGGAGAUGGCAAUGAAGGAGCUAGAAAGGAACCCCUGCAGCUGUAGGGAGAAAGGAUGGUUGAAUGUGCAGAGAAGAAUUUUCCAUCGUAAAGAGGAGGAUAAGAUAAAGCUUCUGGUGGACAUUUCCAAAUUUCUCAACAAAGGCGACAGUUUUGUUGAGACAAUAGCAGGAAGGGGGUGGUUAGAAGACAGGGAAAAGAGCCCAGGAUUGCCAUUGUGAAAUACACAUUAAGACUUCACAGAGGUGAACAUGGAGAUUAUAGAGUAGCCACAAGAGCCCAUUUGAAAUAAAAAGAGAAGUCCAGGGCCAGGCACCCAGGGGCAGAACAGCAGGUUAGGACAGAGCAGAAACUCAAGGGAAAGAAGACAACUGAGAAGAGGUGAGGGCAGGCUGUCUUCCUUUUGUGUGUUUUUCCUUCCCUUUCUUUCCUUCUCUCUGAUUUCCUUUCCUUUUCUCCUUCUCUCUUUUCCUUUCUGAUUUCUUCUUUAAGAAGUAAUAAAUAGUAGAAAGAGUGGUUAAUCAUUCGUUCUUCAGUGUUUUCCACCUUCUCAUGAGACUCAAAGAAUUGAUGUCUGUUCUGUAGGCUCUUGUAAAACAUAUUCAGUUCGUCUGAAGAAGGAGCUGUAUAGAUGAAAAUAACAGCACUAAUAAAUGCUGAAAGUCUCACAGUAUUAACAUGAUUAUAUGCAGCCUGAAAAUGGAUUUCAAAGCCAGAGAAGCUUAGGUAUCAGAAAGAAAAAUGUCAAUGUAAUUGGAAAUCUAUCCUAGCCUUGUAUCUGCCUGCACUAUUUACUCUGUUUUGGGGCUUUCUUUGUGAUUAAGCUAUUAAAAUGCAAUCACUCUCCCUUUUUAGGCCAGCCAAAACAAUGUAAUUUUUUUCAAGCAAAGUAUAACUAUAAAAAGUUAAAAUACAGAA